UGGGGAAUUUUGCACAAUGGGGGAAACCCUGAUGCAGCGACGCCGCGUGAUUUAGAAGGCCUUCGGGUUGUAAAAAUCUUUUGUAUAGGAAGAAAAUGACAGUACUAUACGAAUAAGGACCGGCUAAUUACGUGCCAGCAGCCGCGGUAAUACGUAAGGUCCGAGCGUUGUCCGGAAUCAUUGGGCGUAAAGCGAGCGCAGGCGGUCAAUUAAGUCUGAUGUGAAAGCCCCCGGCUCAACCGGGGAGGGUCAUUGGAAACUGGUUGACUUGAGUGCAGAAGAGGAGAGUGGAAUUCCAUGUGUAGCGGUGAAAUGCGUAGAUAUAUGGAGGAACACCAGUGGCGAAGGCGACUCUCUGGUCUGUAACUGACGCUGAGGCUCGAAAGCGUGGGUAGCAAACAGG
rnacentral:rRNA from 1 species